rnacentral:lncRNA from 1 species
UAUCUUAGAACAAUCUCUCAUUCAUUAUUUUUAUGAAGGAUUGCUAGGAUUGCUACCCACAAAUAGAAGAAUGUUAGAUACAGCAAGUGGUGGUGCCAUAGUGAACAAGACGCCACGACAAGUGAGGGAGCUGAUAUCUAUCAUGACAGCUACUUCCCAACAUUUCUGUUCUAACCGAGACACCACUUGAAGAGUGAAUGAGGCAAGUAUUUCUUCUCAUGAAUCUCAAAUUUCACAAUUAACUACUUUGGUGUAAAAUAUGGUUGCAGG